rnacentral:misc_RNA from 1 species
UAGCCGUAAGUGAACCUGCGGAAGGAUCAUUAAUAAAUCCUUAGGAUGCUGCUGGCUUUUCUUAUGAGAAGCAUGUGCACUCCACCUUUAUUUACCCCUGUGCACUUAUUGUAGAUAUUGAACUUGUUUUAAUAUCUACGUUUUUAUACACAUGUAUAAGUUUUAAAGAAUGUUUGUAUAACUUGAUUAACAUCAAGUCAAAUUUAAAUACAACUUUCAACAAUGGAUCUCUUGGUUCUC